AUACGUAGGGUGCGAGCGUUGUCCGGAAUUGCUGGGCGUAAAGAGCUCGUAGGUGGUUUGUCGCGUCGUCUGUGAAAUUCCGGGGCUUAACUCCGGGCGUACAGGCGAUACGGGCAUAACUUGAGUACUGUAGGGGAGACUGGAAUUCCUGGUGUAGCGGUGAAAUGCGCAGAUAUCAGGAGGAACACCGGUGGCGAAGGCGUGUCUCUGGGCAGUAACUGACGCUGAGGAGCGAAAGCAUGGGUAGCGAACAGGAUUAGAUACCCUGGUAGUCCAUGCCGUAAACGGUGGGCGCUAGGUGUAGGGGUCUUCCACGACUUCUGUGCCGUAGCUAACGCAUUAAGCGCCCCGCCUGGGGAGUACGGCCGCAAGGCUAAAACUCAAAGGAAUUGACGGGG
rnacentral:rRNA from 1 species